GUCGGCCUGCGCGGAAGAUGUAACGGGGCUAAACCAUGCACCGAAGCUGCGGCAGCGACACUGUGUGUUGUUGGGUAGGGGAGCGUUCUGUAAGCCUGUGAAGGUGUGUCGUGAGGCAUGCUGGAGGUAUCAGAAGUGCGAAUGCUGACAUAAGUAACGAUAAAGCGGGUGAAAAGCCCGCUCGCCGGAAGACCAAGGGUUCCUGUCCAACGUUAAUCGGGGCAGGGUGAGUCGACCCCUAAGGCGAGGCCGAAAGGCGUAGUCGAUGGGAAACGGGUUAAUAUUCCCGUACUUGGUGUUACUGCGAAGGGGGGACGGAGAAGGCUAUGUUGGCCGGGCGACGGUUGUCCCGGUUUAAGCGUGUAGGUGUGUGUUCCAGGUAAAUCCGGUUCACUUUAACACUGAGGCGUGACGACGAGGCACUACGGUGCUGAAGCAACAAAUGCCCUGCUUCCAGGAAAAGCCUCUAAGCAUCAGGUAACAUCAAAUCGUACCCCAAACCGACACAGGUGGUCAGGUAGAGAAUACCAAGGCGCUUGAGAGAACUCGGGUGAAGGAACUAGGCAAAAUGGUGCCGUAACUUCGGGAGAAGGCACGCUGACACGUAGGUGAAGUGAUUUACUCAUGGAGCUGAAGUCAGUCGAAGAUACCAGCUGGCUGCAACUGUUUAUUAAAAACACAGCACUGUGCAAACACGAAAGUGGACGUAUACGGUGUGACGCCUGCCCGGUGCCGGAAGGUUAAUUGAUGGGGUCAGCGCAAGCGAAGCUCCUGAUCGAAGCCCCGGUAAACGGCGGCCGUAACUAUAACGGUCCUAAGGUAGCGAAAUUCCUUGUCGGGUAAGUUCCGACCUGCACGAAUGGCGUAAUGAUGGCCAGGCUGUCUCCACCCGAGACUCAGUGAAAUUGAACUCGCUGUGAAGAUGCAGUGUACCCGCGGCAAGACGGAAAGACCCCGUGAACCUUUACUAUAGCUUGACACUGAACAUUGAGCCUUGAUGUGUAGGAUAGGUGGGAGGCUUUGAAGUGUGGACGCCAGUCUGCAUGGAGCCGACCUUGAAAUACCACCCUUUAAUGUUUGAUGUUCUAACGUGGACCCGUUACCCGGGUUGCGGACAGUGUCUGGUGGGUAGUUUGACUGGGGCGGUCUCCUCC
rnacentral:rRNA from 1 species